rnacentral:tRNA from 1 species
AUUUUUCUAGUAUAAAUAGUACAUUUGACUUCCAAUCAAAAAGAUUGAAAACUCAAGAAAAAUA